UAGCUAAUAAACAUCUGAAGCGCCCACAGCCACAAUUCCCGGUCUAAUCCACCGCCGCUUGUCUCAGUCCUCAUUCAUCUCCGGCGAGUUUACAGCUUCUCGGAGCAAAUGACUUUGCUGUUCUCCACAACUGCAACUCCAUCACGCGCUUCGACAAAUAUGAUUCCCAAAUUAUCCAUUGCAAGAAGAUGCCCUGUUGUAUAUCGACCCUUCAUAGUUGUGGAUGCAGAAUCCGCCUUUCCACCGAGGAGAUUGAAUCCAUAUGGCCCUGCCACUGUUCGUUUUUUUCAACAGAAUAAGCCUCCGGUUGUUUCCCUCUCCCGUUUCCUGGCUAGGGCUUAUUUUGGGGGUGAUUCGGAGAAUGCUCCUGAUGCUGAGGAUGGUGAGAACAGCGAAGAUGAUGCAUAUGAGUUACCUGCCGAUUCUGAAAUUCAAGAUGAUAGCAUCGAGAUUGAAAUAGAAAAAACGGGCAAGAACAGCCGGAUAAUUAGAUCAAAGGUAGCUGUGCAGGCCAGCCUCCAAACAGUCUGGAAUACAUUGACCGAUUAUGAAAGAUUAGCUGAUUUCAUUCCAGGUCUAGCAGUCAGCCAGUUGCUUGAAAAAAGAGAUAAUUUUGCUCGUCUCUUUCAGAUUGGUGAGCAGAAUUUGGCAUUUGGGCUGAAAUUCAAUGCAAAAGCUACCAUUGAUUGUUUUGAGAAAGAUCUCCAGACGCUUCCAUACAUUCAAAAACGUGAUAUUGAGUUCAAGAUGGUUGAAGGUGAUUUCCAACUCUUUGAAGGAAAGUGGUCCGUUGAACAGGGGACAAACUGGGAUGCUGAAGAUCUACAGAGCUGUGGCGAAGAAUUCCAAACGACGCUUUUGUAUAUUCUUCGUGUGAAGCCUAAAGUGUGGUUACCUGUGCAACUUGUAGAGGGAAGACUCUGCAAUGAGAUACGAACAAACCUGUCAUGCAUAAGGAACGAAGCUGAGAAAGUAUUCUCCGAAACACGUUCGACAUUAUAGUAAAUCGAGACACUUUUGUUGUUGUUGGUCUUAACUAGGAGAAAUAAAAAACGGAGUUCUUCAUUCUUUCUUCAGAGAAUCGGUAAUUUGAGAAAUUUAUCAUGACUCAGAUAUCAAUUUGUUCCGAAAGAGAACCCUUCAUUUGUUGCAGAAUUUGUCGAUUUGCAAAGAACGAGUUCACGGCUGAUAAAUUUCCAACUGUACAUGUGGGUCGACUCGAUGAACCAAUACUCAGGAAUCACUUUUUUGGUACUUUUGUCUAUUCUAUUUCAAUAACCAUAGUUUUUCUUGGCUUAAAAGCUAUAUAUUAUUAAGUUAUUCACAAUUAUGUACAAUCAUCAACAGUUUGUCUUUGAUUUUGACCAAAAUUUGACAGAAGUAUGAGAGAACUUUUAGCUUA